AUUGAACGCUGGCGGCAUGCUUUACACAUGCAAGUCGAACGGCAGCACGGGUGCUUGCACCUGGUGGCGAGUGGCGGACGGGUGAGUAAUGCAUCGGAACGUGUCCUAAAGUGGGGGAUAACGCAUCGAAAGAUGUGCUAAUACCGCAUAUUCUCUGAGGAGGAAAGUAGGGGAUCGAAAGACCUUAUGCUUUUGGAGCGGCCGAUGUCUGAUUAGCUAGUUGGUAAGGUAAUGGCUUACCAAGGCGACGAUCAGUAGUUGGUCUGAGAGGACGACCAGCCACACUGGGACUGAGACACGGCCCAGACUCCUACGGGAGGCAGCAGUGGGGAAUUUUGGACAAUGGGCGCAAGCCUGAUCCAGCAAUGCCGCGUGAGUGAAGAAGGCCUCGGUUGUAAGACGUCUUUCUAGUUGAAAGAAAAGACCGUAGACUAAUAAUCAUGGUUCAUGACGGUAUC
rnacentral:rRNA from 1 species